rnacentral:lncRNA from 1 species
GAAAACUUUUCCUAAAAGGAGAUUCAAAGCAUGACUUUUUUGUUUGUUGUGUUUUUGUUUUGUGUGUGUAUGUUGUUUGUUGUUGUUGUUUUGUGUGUGUGUUUGUGUGUAUUUAUUUUUUUUUUAUUAUUUGUUUUGCUUUUACCUUGGAAAGAAGGAAAGAGAUAAGAUGGGAAAAACUCUCUGUGAACUAGUGAGGAAAAUCAAAGAAAACAGCAAAAACAGGACAUCUGAGAACUUGGAUUUUUCCUGACUCACAGCAUAAAGAAGGGGAGACUUUCCACAUAGCUAGAAGUUAGAAAACUUUGAAAUAAUGAAACCUAUAUUUUUUCACAUUAGAAAAAAGUUAGAUCAUGGAUCCAUGAACACAUGUAAUUGAUUAGGCCAGGGAUAGCCAGUCUUUCAUUUACAGACCUGUUAUUCAUAAAUGGAAGAAAUAAGAGAAAAAAGUGACAGAUUGUACCCUUGCUAGCUCUUAGAGCCCUCAGAGCCUUUUCUGAAAAAUAUGGGAUUAUAGAAGACUUGGUUCAGACUUUCGGCUCAUGAUUAUUGUCAAAUAAAGUCAGUUUGUACAGUCCCAAGUACAUGGGACAAGGGCUUGCUCUUCUCAGUGUCCACAAGUAUGUCUGUUGUCAGGGGACACCAUGGCAACAAGCAGUGCUGUGACCAUAUGGCAGAGGUCCCAGUGCAGAAGGGAGCGUAGCCAGACUCUCCCUGCUCUUGGCCAACAUUUCAUGCUGGACAAGGUUGUUACACUGUUUGCCAAAUCUGUAUUUCCCCCUUUGGAUUUACCACCUCUGAAGGAGUAUGGUAAAUUAUCUGAUGACAUGGGCUAUCAACAUGAGAAUACAGUUCUUGAAAAUGAUCUCAGAUACUUACCUUCCAGAGAAAACAUUGGACUUCAGUGUGUAUAAAGUAAAAUUUGCAUGUAAUACAUGCAGAAUUUGCAAGAUUAUGCUGUCUACAUGAUAAUCAGUUAAGUCACAUAGUGACACCAUUCUUAUUGAAAAGAAGUAGGAGACAAGUAAGAAAACUAGAAGAAUCAAUAUAAAUUUAUUUAUUUAUUCCAUCACAGCUUCUUAUCUUCUGCAAAGUCCCAGUGUUCUAUGUUCAUGUUCUGUGAUCAUACUCUCUGGAAUCUGAAGUAAAUGCAACUUGAAACUACUUUGUGUACAUUAGUAUCCAACAUUAUGUACAGUAACUGAAGAGCCUACAGUCUGUAGACAUUUAAAAGCAAAACAGUUUGUUCAUGCAGUUUGUUCAGUUUGUUUUUGAACAUUUUGUUCAUCUUUGGACAGGCAGCAAAAAAAAAAAAAUAAAUAUAUAUAUAUAUAUAUAAA